AUAUUUUAUUUAGAAUAUAAACUUUG
rnacentral:tRNA from 1 species